UUCUCUCCUCCUUCAGUUACUAGUUUGUUACUGUAUUUUAUUAGUAGCAAUUAACUCUUUUUCAAAAACACCUAAACUCUGCUCCCUUUUUCUGUUAGUCUGUUAGUGUCUUUUAGCUAGCAGUAACUCUUUUUUUCGUACUCUGUUUUGAAGUUCACCUCACAGUGACAGACAUUCUGUCUAGGUUCGUGCAAGUACGUCCAAGUCUCUUCUGAACUUUUGUUCGAU
rnacentral:lncRNA from 1 species